ACGUAGGGCGCAAGCGUUGUCCGGAAUUAUUGGGCGUAAAGAGCUCGUAGGCGGUCUGUCGCGUCGGAUGUGAAAGCUCGAGGCUUAACCUCGGGUCUGCAUCCGAUACGGGCAGACUAGAGGCAGGUAGGGGAGAACGGAAUUCCCGGUGUAGCGGUGAAAUGCGCAGAUAUCGGGAGGAACACCGGUGGCGAAGGCGGUAUCCUGGACCAAUUCUGACGCUGAGGAGCGAAAGCCAGGGGAGCAAACGGGA
rnacentral:rRNA from 1 species